rnacentral:lncRNA from 1 species
AUGGCUGGAAGGCUGUGGUCCAAGGCCAUUUUUGCUGGCUAUGAGCAAUGUCUCCAGAACACACAGCUCUUCUUAAAAUUGAAGUGUUUAUGCUCAAGAUGAAACAGAAUUCUAUGUGGGCAAGAGAUGUGCUUAUGUAUACAAAGCAAAGAACGACCAUGACUCCUGGCAGCAAACCAAACAAAACCAGAGUAAUCUGGGGAAAGGUAACUCGGGCCCCAUGGGAACAGUAGCAUGGUUCAUGCCAAAUUCCUAAACAAUCUUCCUGCUAAAGGUAUUAGACACAGAAUCUGAGUGAUGCUAUACCCCUCAAGGAUUUAA